rnacentral:lncRNA from 10 species
GGGCUUUGCCACAUUGCUCCGGCUGGUCUUGAACUCCUGGGCUUGUGAUCCACCCACCUUGGCCUCCGAAAGUUCUGGGAUUACAGGCGUGAGCCACUGUACCUGGCCCCUACUCACUCUUUAGAUUACACUUACAUGUCACUUCCCUGGGAAGUCAUCUUUGUCAACAGCUCAAAAGGGUUUGGUGUUAAGGACGAGAUUUAUAUGACAAAGAUAUUUCUGGCAAGACGUGGAGAGAAAGAGUCCCUUCAAUGAAAAAAUGCAAGACUGUUCUGACUGCUUUUUCAGAAAUAUAUCCACCAACUUCUGUAUGAAGUCACCAAGAAUACCGCAACCAGCAAAGAACUCCUCUCUAAAAACGUGGCUCAUCCCCUCGAAAGAUCCAGGUGAACACACUGGGAUUCAUCACGGAAAGAACUCAACCCAUGGAGAAUGAAGAGGAGCAAGACAGGAAAAUCACCCAUCUGGGAAUGGCAUGGAGCCAGGGGAGGCUCCCCAACCAUGGGGAAAUGGUGCUCACCAUUGGCCAGCCCCACCAAAAGCCAAACUAUAAGGAGGCAUCCAGCCAAACAGCCUCUUCAGUCUUGGAACAGCUUGGAAAAUGAAUCUGGAAGGACAAAUAGGUGAUCUACAGCAUAAUCUCCAUUAUAGUGUACUUUCUCUUCAUCCGGUUGAUUUGGUUUGGAUCUGUGUCCCCACCCAAAUCUCAUGUUGAACUGUAAUCUCCAGUGUUGGAGGUGGGGCCUCGUGGGAGGUGUUUGGAUCAUGAAGGCAGAUUCCUUAUGAAUGAUUUGGGCCAUCCCUUUGGUGAUGAGUGAGCUCUUGCUCUGAGUUGACAGGAGAUCUGGUCAUUCAAAAGUGUGUGACAUGCUCCCUGCCUCCACCUGCUCUUGCUCAUGCUUUUGCCAUGUGACUUGCCUGCCCCUUGUUCGCCUUCUGCCAUGAUUGUAAGCUUCCAGAAGCCUCCCUGGAAGCUGAGUAGUUGCCAGCACCAUGCUUCCUGUAAAGUCUGAAGAACUGUGAAUGAAUUAAACUUCUUUUCUUUAUAAAUUACUUUAUAAAUGGUAAAGGUAUUUCUUUACAGUAAUGCAAGAAUGCCCUAAUACACAGGUCCGAGAUCAAAGGAUAAAAAAUUA